AGGAAGAAUAUAAAAAUACUCCGUAGAUAACACAACAGAAUAUGAUUGUAUGAAGUUAUACUUUUUGCCAUUUUUAGUUAGAAAAAAUUCAUUUUCUUGCUACAACUGAAAAUGUUCAACCAACACUUCACCUAAAUAGUGUAUCUUUGUACUCUCCCAAAAGUAGGUUUGGUCCAACAGAGACUUUGAACAAAACGUAUGCUAGUAGAUUUUUUUUUUCAAAUGUUGUCCUUCCCAAAGAACAAAACAAAAGAUAAUAAUUUGGCCUUUUUCUUUUACACGAAUUUGGGUCUUCGUGUACUCCAUUACAAAUCCUAUUAAAUGACAAUGUUUUCGCUUAAAACAAAAAAAUUAAUGGAUCCUAAAUAUAUUAAAUCCACUGUCAACAUCAUGCUGUGCGCAUAAAUACCUCAUCUUCAUAAGAACUGACUUUAAAAAAAUACUAAAACAACGAUAGAACAUUAAAAUAAUCAUUUAUCGUAAAGUCUUUAAACAAUUAAACAUUCAAAAAAUGUCGAGUGGUUACAAAAACCGGAGCGUCUCCACGCCUUUUUGUGCUUGGAGUGGUUUGUACAUUCAGAGUGAAAAUACGAUGUCGUUUGACUAAAAUUUAAAAUCCGAUUAUAUACUUAUGGUUUUGUUGGCGAAACCAAAAAACUGUGAAACAGCGAAAUUUGUGCCGUUUGUUUCCUUUCACUGCUUCUUCUUCAGUGGAUCCAAUGGUGAAUGAGGUGAAAGAGAUCGAUACGGAGUACGAGUUUGACGCAGCUCAGUGGUAUGACUUCGCUCGGAUGGAGUUACGGGCAGAGUCUGAGGCAGCCGAGCUCUGGUUUCACUCUGCUCCCUCCUACGCGCCUUCUCCUUUCGUGACAACAUUGUUACUUAGAGAGGAGGUUCCUCGUGACAUCACCGAUGAGGAUGAGGAAGUCACAACAGAUGUUUGUGGCAUGGAUAGAGAAAUAUAUCAUCAGCAUCCACAUUUGAAUAAGAAUGGAAAAAUGCGUUUUGGGAGCCACUUGAAGAAAGUUCCAAAUCAACCCAUAUGCAAAGGGCCAACGGUUAGCAAUCACAACCACAGUGAUAAAAAACCAAAAUUCCGAGCUAAAUCAAGCAUCAGACCAAAUCCAAGGGUCUCAACGUUAAUGAGACCAACUGCUAGUCAGUUAGCUAAACAAAAUCAUGCCAGUAAAUUUGUGGAUAAUAUUCAUGAGAAAGGCUUAUGUGGGACCGAAGUUCAAGCGGCUAAGAGACAGAAGCUUGAUGGAGGUCUUCUUCGUAAGGUUGCUGGUACAAAGCAGGAGAUGAGUUUUGUUCACAAGAUACCCAAGAAGGAUACAACUCUUGAUAAGAACUCACAACAUGCCAAGACAAAGAUUACUAUCCCACAUGGGGCUGAUUUUGUUACAUCACAGAGGGCACUCAGGAUACGGCAGAAGAAUGACGCGAAGUUGGAACAGGACUCAACAGCUGUAUAUAAAUUCAAAGCACGUCCGCUUAACCGAAAGAUAUUCGAUGCUCCAUCAUUGCCUAUCCGGAAAAAGAGCACUCCGAAACUAACUGAGUUCCAAGAAUUUCAUUUGAAGACUUCAGAAAGGGCUAUGCAACAUUCUUCACAAGUAACAAAAAGGUCUAAUCAAUGGAAUCAUGCGUAUAAGGGGCCAGACAAAUCUAAUAUAACUGAUGUGUUUGACGGUGUUAGCAUGGAAAGUAGGAGACCAAGCGGAAUGGAUAUAUCUAAGCAUGAUGUCUCGGAGGGCAAACACGUUUUUAAAGCUCGUCCUCUGAACAAGAAGAGGAGCAUGGGCAUUUUCAAAAAUAACCAGUACCUUUGGUAUUAUAGUCUUCACAGUUCUUCUUUGCACUUGAUCUUCUGUAUAUUUUGUAAAUGGAGUUUCCUGAUAAGGAUGAAACUGAUUCCGAGAUGGCAACACAGGAGUUUAAUUUUAAACCAGAAGAGAGAGUUCAACAAGAUUUACCAACAGACCUUUUCAGCAAGCUCUCCAUAAAAUCCGAACUCAAGCAAAACAAUGGAUCACGCCUAAGAUUUACUCAAGCAAAGGGCUUCAAGGAAAAUAGAGUGAACUCUUUCCAAGCAGGGAAUGAGGUAACUCCAGUUGAAAAAACUGCCUCUUCAGCUGGACAACAUAUACAAUCUGGUCAUAUCCUAAUAAUUCCUGAAACCAAUCAACGAUGGACUGCUAGUAGGAGCUUUACCAUAUGCUGAUGGUAUAUAGAAAAAGCUUUUGUAGCAUCUGGAAUCAUCAUCAUCAUCGUCAACCCCUUUUGUACAUUCAGAUUUGGUUCUCUUCUCGAUCUGAUCCUGUGGUGUAACUCCUCCAUCUCAAAGCUAACAUGUUAAAAUCCAGAGAAGUAGAACUAGGAGGAAGCUGGAUUCUUCACUUCUUACAUCUCUUUUUUUACAUUUAGUAGCAUAAGAAAAAGAAAAAAAAAACAGAAAAUGUAAAUCAGAAAUACUCUCAACUUCUUAAUACACAUGUGGUUCAUAGAGCA